UAGGGAAUCUUCCACAAUGGACGCAAGUCUGAUGGAGCAACGCCGCGUGAGUGAAGAAGGUUUUCGGAUCGUAAAGCUCUGUUGUUGGUGAAGAAGGAUAGAGGCAGUAACUGGCCUUUAUUUGACGGUAAUCAACCAGAAAGUCACGGCUAACUACGUGCCAGCAGCCGCGGUAAUACGUAGGUGGCAAGCGUUGUCCGGAUUUAUUGGGCGUAAAGCGAGCGCAGGCGGAUUGAUAAGUCUGAUGUGAAAGCCUUCGGCUCAACCGAAGAACUGCAUCAGAAACUGUCAAUCUUGAGUGCAGAAGAGGAGAGUGGAACUCCAUGUGUAGCGGUGGAAUGCGUAGAUAUAUGGAAGAACACCAGUGGCGAAGGCGGCUCUCUGGUCUGUAACUGACGCUGAGGCUCGAAAGCAUGGGUAGCGAACAGG
rnacentral:rRNA from 1 species